rnacentral:rRNA from 1 species
CAGCAGCCGCGGUAAUACAGAGGAUGCAAGCGUUAUCCGGAAUGAUUGGGCGUAAAGGGCUCGCAGGCGGUUUCUUAAGUCUAAUGUGAAAGCCCCCGGCUCAACCGGGGAGGGUCAUUGGAAACUGGGAAACUUGAGUGCAGAAGAGGAGAGUGGAAUCCCACGUGUAGCGGUGAAAUGCGUAGAGAUGUGGAGGAACACCAGUGGCGAAGGCGACUCUCUGGUCUGUAACUGACGCUGAGGAGCGAAAGCGUGGGGAGCGAACAGGAUUAGAUACCCCCGUAGUCCCUGUCUCUUAUAC